UAUUAUUUUGAGUUGGUCCUGCCCGGUGAGUUUUUAACGGCCGCAGUACUCUGACUGUGCUAAGGUAGCAUAAUAAUUUGUCUUUUAAUUGAAGACUGGAAUAAACGGGUGUUUGUUUAAAUUCUGUCUCUAUUUUAUUUUAUUUAAUUUACUUUAAAAGGUGAAAAUUCCUUUAAAAUUUUGUUAGACGAGAAGACCCUUAGAGUUUUAACNUAUUACUGUUUUUGUUGGGGCGACAUAGAAGCACUUAACCUUCUAUAAUAAUAAACUAUAUAUCAAAUAUUUUUAAAAAUUAAACUACCUAAGGGAUAACAGCAUAAUUUAUUAUUAAGAUUAUGACCUCGAUGUUGGAUUAAGGACUUAUAAGUUAACCGCUCAAUAAGAUAGUUCUGUUCGAAC
rnacentral:rRNA from 1 species